rnacentral:rRNA from 1 species
AACGAACGCUGGCGGCAGGCUUAACACAUGCAAGUCGAACGGUUGUAGCAAUACAGCAGUGGCGCACGGGUGAGUAACGCGUGGAUAUCUGCCUUUUGGUUUGGAAUAACUCCGGGAAACUGGAGCUAAUACCGGAUGGUUCCUACGGGAUAAAGAUUUAUCGCCAAAAGAUGAGUCCGCGUACGAUUAGCUAGUUGGUGAGGUAAUGGCUCACCAAGGCGACGAUCGUUAGCUGGUCUGAGAGGACGAUCAGCCACACUGGGACUGAGACACGGCCCAGACUCCUACGGGAGGCAGCAGUGGGAAUAUUGGACAAUGGGGGCAACCCUGAUCCAGCCAUGCCGCGUGAGUGAUGAAGGCCUUCGGGUUGUAAAGGCUCUUUUGGCGGGGACGAUGAUGACGGUACCCGCAGAAUAAGCCCCGGCUAACUUCGUGCCAGCAGCCGCGGUAAU